rnacentral:tRNA from 1 species
GGGUCCAUCGCUCAGUUGGUAGAGCACAAGGCUCUCAACCUUUUGGAAGUGGAUUCA